UACAGAGGUCUCAAGCGUUGUUCGGAUUCAUUGGGCGUAAAGGGUGCUUAGGUGGCGCGCUAAGUCGGGUGUGAAAUUUCGGAGCUUAACUCCGAAACUGCAUUCGAUACUGGCGUGCUUGAGGACUGGAGAGGAGACUGGAAUUCAUGGUGUAGCAGUGAAAUGCGUAGAGAUCAUGAGGAAGACCAGUGGCGAAGGCGGGUCUCUGGACAGUUCCUGACACUGAGGCACGAAGGCCAGGGGAGCAAACGGG
rnacentral:rRNA from 1 species